rnacentral:rRNA from 1 species
GACGAACGCUGGCGGCGUGCCUAAUACAUGCAAGUCGAACGCAGUUGCGAACGGGGGAGUAACGCGUAGGUAACUGCCUCAUAGCGCGGGAUAAGGAUUGGAAACGAUAGCUAAUACCGCAUACUUCGAGAUGCACUUGUGUUGUAUUAGCGAGUUGGUGAGGUAAAGGCUCACCAAGGCGACGAUACAUAGCCGACCUGCGAGGGGGGUCGGCCACACUGGGGCUGGGACACGGCCCAGACUCCUACGGGAGGCAGCCGGAGGGGGAAUUUGGCACUGGACCGAAGUGUGACCCAGCCACGCCGCGUGAGUGAAGAAAUUUUUCGGGUCGUGAAGCACUGUUGUUAGAGAAACGGUAACUAACCAGAAAGGGCCGGCUCACUACGUGCCAGCCGCCGCGGUAAUAC